ACGCAAUCGCCACACUUGUCGUUGCUAUAGCAGAUCUUACAUAGGUUACAUAACAAAUACACAGUGAAUACGAGAGCUAUUAAUAACAACGAAACUAACUCAGUCAGGUUUCAAAGUAUCGGUGCAAUUCGAUGCGCGAGAGACGUCUAGUGAAGUGGUUGAUUCUGGGAAGUGAACCAAGUCUGACGUCUGUAUAAGCUCUUUCACUGUCCAUGCCUUAUUACUAGUAAAAGAUGGCUAGAAUAUUAUCACUGACGUGUUCACUUAUUAUCGUAUACCUCUGUACGGCAGGUAUAGAUUGUGACGAGUGUGCUCUAGACCGUACUCAUAUAUUUGAUAGCGAUACCAUUACUUGUUUAUUUGGUUGCUGUUAUUAUACUAUCGGUUUUUCUAGCGACGAUAUAUGCUGUAACCCCUCGUCUGCAACUAUAGUUGGAAUGUCUGCUGGUGGUAUUGCUCUUCUAGCUGCUUGCAUUGCAUGCUGUUAUUGUUGCUGCUGUCGACGCCGUGGAGAUCCGGGAGUAGUGGUCAUCAACCCAAAUGCAACUCCAACAACGACAGUUGUAUCAAAUGUAGUAGCACAAGGAGGUUACCCUCCUCAGCAGGGAUAUUCUCCGCAACCUGGGAUAGUGCCGCAACUCGGAUUUCCACAGAAUCAGGGUUAUACACGGAUGGCGUAACUCGAUUAUGCACAGACGCAGCAACCUGCCAUUUCGAAUUUUUACCAUCACGAAUUCUCGAAAUUAAAUUUUUAAGACUAUCGCUGUCAUUUUAUUACCAAAUUAAUGUUGUUGUUUUGUUUUUAUAUUAUUCUUUUAAAUGGUUUUAUAUUACCAAAUUUGGCAGUCAUUUUGAAAGAAAUGUCCGCCAUCAAAUGAAAAAUACAUUUUUUUAAUUGAUUUUUGUCAAACUCGAUUUUUGACACAUUUCGCUUGCAUAACCACUCUGUGUUUGUGGAAUUUAAAACGAAAUUAUUUAUCCCCCCACCACUGAAAGACACUGAUUACGAGAUAUCGCUCUCCGAUAAUUCCUGAAGAACGCCAAAUUGAAUUCUGUUAAUCAUGUAAUUUUUCCUUGGCCGAUUUUGAGUAUGAUUUUGUCUGACAUAUUUAUCAUUGAACCAAACUGCAUCGGUUUCUUUAGCAAUUUGUUUAGGAUAAAAUUUAGCUGGUAAAACGUUAUACCACGAAAAAAAUAAAACGUUUUGUUAAGUAAAGCUAUAUGACGCCAUGACGUAAUAGUUUUUUAUGGCGUCAUAGUUGGGACCCAAAAAGGCGCCUGUAAAUGAGUUGUAGUAACUUUCCCUAUACAGGGCUUUGGCAGCAAGAAGCUUUAAUGAUCUGGAGACGGCAUGACGUCAUUUUACCAUUAUGACGAUGCAAGCCAGAUACGCCAUUUUGAUUAACCCAAAACAUUAAAAUUUUGGGUGGAGUAAAAACUUAUUUUUUCUUAAACAAGAAUAACAUAAUACCCAAUUAUACUAGAGGAAAUUUGUUUAACAUAGUAAAAGGCAACACAUAUUCAGAUAUAAAUAAUAAGUUAUUAAUUUAUAAUAAAUCAUGUAAUGUCUAUGAAGGUAUAAAAUUAAAAUUAUCAUCUCAAACCGAGUAGCCUAUAUACAGCAGAUUGUAUAGAUUUAUGAAUAUCGACUUAUUUUAUGGCUGGUAUCCAAUUUCCCCUGAUUUUGGUUUCGAUUUUAAAACGUUUGCAGUUUCCAACCAUUUAUGACCAUAAUUCCGCAUUUAGCCCCGGAUUAAACUUGUCAGAGACGGACUGGGUAGCUCUGUGUCCUCGGACCAACUGGUUUCAUUGGGCCCGGACCCCAUCGGAGUGAACCAUACGUGACAUGACGAGAAAACGAAACUAGUUUGAUUCACUAUCCCUGCACCUCACUCGCUUAGAUUGUUUUUCUCCUCAGAUUGAGGCCAUUCUUUUUUCAGUGGAUAAGGAGAUAGAGAGAGAGAAAUGGGGUUUGACGUCCACUCGACACAAACUAGGUCACUUCGGGACUAACAUUAUGGUUUAAUUUUAUUUCAAUAAUUCGCGCUUGCGCGUAGGGGUCUUUAGCAGUGGGGGGGGGGGGACCGGAGAGAGAGAGAGAGAGAAAUGGGGUUUAACGUCCAUUCGACACAAACUAGGGCAUUUCGGGACUAACACAUGGUUCAAUUUUACUUCUAUAAUUCGCAUGCGCGCAUGGGUCUUUAAGCAGUGGGAGGAAACCGUAGGACCUGCAGAAAAUCCACGAGGCUUGACAGGCGACCCUACUCCUUGUCAUGUACAACCGGGGAUUCGAAACCACGCCAGUUGACUCAAUGACAGGCCUUAUGAUACAGCACGCACGUGCUAACCAUUUGGUCACACCCCCCCCCCCUAAAAGAUUAGUGAUAUCAAUUCGGACAUUGCUAUUGACUAACAUUAAAUAUUAAUGAAAUAUAUACGAAGAUAAACUAUAACAUAUAUACUGUUCUGUGUAUACAAAUAAGCCUACCUGUGUAUCAAUCAUUCAAAUUUAAUUUAUGUAAAUAUUCAUGAAUUAUAUUAUAUAAACAUAUAGAAAAUGUA